CAAUCGGCUUUCAGUCUUAUUUUAGCCGAUAUGAUCGAUGUUCCUAAAUUA
rnacentral:misc_RNA from 1 species